UACGAAGGGUGCAAGCGUUAAUCGGAAUUACUGGGCGUAAAGAGCUCGUAGGCGGUUUGUCGCGUCUGCUGUGAAAUCUAGAGGCUCAACCUCUAGCGUGCAGUGGAUACUGGCAGGCUGGAGUACGGUAGAGGAAGGUGGAAUUCCCGGUGUAGCGGUGAAAUGCGUAGAGAUCGGGAGGAACAUCAGUGGCGAAGGCGGCCAUCUGGGACAACACUGACGCUGAAGCACGAAAGCGUGGGGAGCAAACAGG
rnacentral:rRNA from 1 species